rnacentral:piRNA from 1 species
AACAGAUGUCUUGAUUUCUCCCCUCUCCAG